UUGAGAUUCCGACAAGAUCUUGAUGUCUGCAUCUUUCUGGUCCUCCUUUUGAAAAAAAUAAGCAGAGAAGACACACAGAGUAGUGGGAAACAUCCAGACACUCUCACAAAUGUGCACCCAGGCCCUAAAAGCUUCAACAAAAGAAAAAAAGAGAGAAACAAAAGGGAGCAACAGGAAACUGGCGGUCAAGCGGUGCUGAUAGUCUUGUGCUGUCUGAGGACAGGCUGACUCAUUCUCCCCAGUUUAAAACCCAAACAACACCAACACCAGCCAGCCUGCUGGAGGUGGGAGUUCAUGGCUUUUUCAGGUUUCAUUGCUAUGGGUGGAUUUAAUGGAAAUGGAAAGCUUUCAGAGAGGGUAAAUCCUUCAGUGGCAGAGAGGAAGUUAUAGUCAGUUCUGCAUAAGCUCCUCCUGUAUCACUUAAUUCAUGGCCACACCAGGUGCUGGCACCUGCUCCUGAAAAACCAGCAAGAGUCAGGCCCUGAAAAGAUAAUCUGUUCCAUUCUUUUUUAAAAAAUGGGACUGAAUAAGCAACAUUCUGUUGGGAAAGUCCACACCUCUGAUGACACAGAAGAAAGAAACCAGCCUGGCGUUCCAGCCAGCCAAACGGGGAACAGCAAGGAUUUAUUAGAGGAAAACCUUGAGGAACUUGAAUGCAAACAAGCUCAUCUCCACCUGGGAUGCCAAGAUGCUUCCACUGCCUUCGUACUCAGGAGCUGUGAACAUCACAAAGGUCUGAUCUGCACUUGAGGAAGGACCAGGGAGGAUGAGCCAUGGCAGAAGCAUUCCUUGUCCAAGCCACCGGGCUCCAAAUGUGACUUCCUUCAACACUGCUACAUCCAACCCCUGCAGCUUGUUCCAGCCCAGCUCCUGUCUCCACACCCUUCCAAAUCCAAGAGCAAUAAACAGUGGGGAGCUACUGCUUGUAAAUCAGUUGCCACAUCGAGGACGGUCACAUAUCGCAAUGUCAGAGGAAGGAGACGGCGAUGGCGAAACCCUACAGCAGAGAUUUGCUCUCCACACUCAGAACUAAAGGCAGACAGCUCAUGUGGGUGGCUGGAACUUCAUCCCAAGAAAGCCAAACCAAGACAGGAAGCCUUAGCUGCACUGGAAUAGUCAAGAUUUCAGGCAAACUACUUAAAAGCAAGCAGUUCUCCUCAGGAAACGGACAAUGAGUUGCUGGCAGCAUCCUGGAAGCCUUUCCUCUGACAAAGAGCUGGUUACUGAGGAAUGGAGCUAACUCAGGUACAGGCACAAAAUAAAAGGCAGAAGUUGAACUGGAACUUGCUGACUAAGCUGAGCUGGGCCAGGGGGGGCAGGGGAGAUCCGGGCAGCAGUCAGGGCUCUGGAAUAGGCACGGAAACAAGUUUCCACGGGAGCAUGCUGCUUUAAAGUCAGCUGUAUGAGAUCAUCUUGUCCCCUUGAGUAUAUUGUUUCCUAAUAUUUUGCCCAGACCAAUCACAAAUGGCAGAAGCAAUGGCUGGGUCUGUUGAUUUGGGGUUGUUUUCUUUUUUUGGACUACCCUUAAGUCCCCACAGAGCCUGUGGAGGAUGAGAAUUGUAGACCCUGUUCUGUCUUUCACAUUACAAAUGCAAUUAUCUCUGCAGCCUGAUUGCAGCAUCCCCUGUCAGAGUGAUUCUGCAAGAGGCUGAAAGAACAGCUUGCCUUUCAAAGGGACUUAGGAACGUUCCUGUGAGUCCUUCCGUGCCCUCUGGUCACAUGCUGGUGAAAUUUAAGCAAAGCAUGUGCAGUCCCAAGGGAAGAGCAUCCCUUGGAGAGAGCUGUUCUCUUGCAAAGUACAAAAUUUCCUGGGCAAAAAUCUGAUUCUUCUUGCUUUUCAAUCCUAUUACCCAGAUGAUGAAGAAAAAAAUUCACUGUAAGAUGAUUUUGAGAUAGAAGGGACAGUUUGGAGAUGGGCAGGCUUGUCCUACCUGGGUGCAAGAGAUAACAUUAAAGUCAGUUGGACUCUUUCUAAAGGCAGCAAGCAUCUUGGAUUUGUCUCUUGGAUAACUGCAAGUGGAAAUUAGCACUACAAGCUAGAAACAUCUGGAGAUAGGGUGUUAAACAUAAUAGUGUUGGUGGGCCACAUCUGGCUCCCACAUUUUCCUUUCAGCCUAACCAGAGGCAGGAGUCAGGCACACAGGGCACCGAAUGGAACUGGGAAUUCUGUGCUGGAUGACCUCACAGGCCACUGCCACCAGGUGACAGCUCCCUUUCCCUCACCUCCCACCCCAAGCACUCCUAGAACCACCCGUGCCAGGCUCUGUGUCAGCCCCAGUGGGACACAGCUCUUUGCCAACCUGCCAAAACGCUGUCCAGGCCAGGGUGCCACACCAGAGCACGGCGUUCAUGCCAAGCAAAACAAUCCUCCUGGGAAUGCCCUGUGCCAACAGCCCAGUCCUGCAGGAGAAGACAAAGCUCAAGGAAUGCUUGACGAGGUCAGCAACAAUUCCUGUAACAGGCAAAAUGGAAAAAAACCCCAAAAAUAGUGGAAGUGGCAAUCGUGUUCCUAUCCCUGGGCUCGGGAUCUGAUGGCAGCACUGGGAGCCUGCCUGAAAUCCCAUUCUGGAGGGGGACAUGGAAUGCAUUCCAUGACCAUCCAAGGGGCUGGAAGCAGCUGAAGUGGCACAGAAAGUGCUGGAUGUGGGAUGGGACAGUCACAGCCACGAUGAGUGUGGCAGAGGUGACCUUUCCAUGCUGGAUUGAAAAGCCAAGAAAACAUCCUUGCACCCAUGGAAGCUGUUACUGCUCUACCACCACGCCCUUCAUUAGUUAAUUACUGACAUUUCUGCAACUCCACUGCCUGAAUGAAGCAGCAGGGGAGGGAGAAUUCAAUAUUAAAUAUAAAGCAGCAAUCUCA